CAGUACAAGAGUCUGCAACCUUUACCAAGAAAGUGUAAUCCCAAAUAUAACAUAUGCUAAAACUGAAUAUGUCUGGAGCUUGCACACUUACAUGUUUUUGGCACUGUUA